UUAUACGCAAAACUAGUCCAGAACCGUAAAACAAACCUAAAUGCACUGGCUAACUCCAACAAAGUCAUACUUAGAUGGGUACCAGGGCACUCCGACGUUAACGGAAACGAAGAAGCGGACGAACUUGCAAGAAACCCAGGGCGCAGACACACCCCUGGUCGGCCCAGAACCGUUCUGUGGAAUCACAAAACGGGAUGCAUAUUCUCUGCUCAGCGACUUAUAAAAAAUGAGAGCAAUCAAUUGGUGGAAGUUCGCUAAAGGACAAGAACACUCGAAAGCUCUAAUCAAAGGGUUCAACAGCAAAAUUGCUAAGGAGCUUCUAGGGCUCAAAAUGCACAAAACCUGCGCGACUAUAGAAUACUGACUGGACACUGUAAGUUGAACAAACACAUGUUUCAAAUUGGCAAAAAACAAGAUGCGACAUGCAGGUUCUGCCAGGAGUCAGAGGAGACUGCAAUGCACAUUCUCUGUUCCUGUGGACCACUAAUGUCAAAAAGAAGUACCUAUUACUUAGGGCGACACGUA